rnacentral:rRNA from 1 species
CCUACGGGUGGCAGCAGUGAGGAAUAUUGGUCAAUGGCCGUAAGGCUGAACCAGCCAAGUCGCGUGAAGGAAGAAGGCUUUAUGGUUUGUAAACUUCUUUUAUAGGGGAAUAAAGGUAUCCACGUGUGGAUAUUUGCAUGUACCCUAUGAAUAAGCAUCGGCUAACUUCGUUCCAGCAGACGCGGUACUCCGGAGGUUGCGAGCUUUAUGCGGAUUUAUUGAGUUUAACGGGUACGCAGGUUGUUUUUUAAGUCAGAGGUUAAAGUUUGUGGCUCAACCAUAAAAUUGCCGUUGAAACUGGAAGGCUUGAGUGUGUUUGAGGUAGGCGGAAUGCGAGGUGUAGCGGUGAAAUGCAUAGAGAUGACGCAGAACUCCGAUUGCGAAGGCAGCUUACUAGGCCAUAACUGACACUGAAGUACGAAAGCGUGGGGAUCAAACAGGAUUAGAUACCCUAGUAGUC